rnacentral:lncRNA from 1 species
UACAAUUGUAAGAUUUAUUCUUCACAAUAGCAAUUGUGGCAUGACAAUCACAAUGUAUAUAUACAGGAGACAUUAGAUCAUCCUUUCUAAAAGGGAUAUUUGCUAAGAAAUUUCUUAGUCAUUCAGCCUCUAUUCCAGCUAGCUCCAGAGCUAUAAAUUUUAACUCCAUAGUAGAUUUGGCAAUGAUCGUUUGCUUAGCUGAUUUUCAUGAUACUGCACCACCACCUAAGGUGAACACAUAACCGCUAGCGAAUUUCGUCUCAUCUGAAUCAGAGAUCCAGUUUGCAUCACAAUAUCCUUCUAAAGUAAAAGAAAAUUCACUAUAUAGAAUACCAUAAUUCGUGAUUCUUUUAAAUAUUUCAUUAAUCUCAUUAAUGCUGACCAAUGCUCUUUAUUGGGGUUGUGAGUAUAUCUACUUAGUCUACACACAACAUAUGCUAUAUCAGGUCUUAUAAUAUUCAUCAGAUGCACGAGACUCCCUAUAAUCUAUGCAUAUUUAGACUGGGUAACUGGGUCACCAUAGUUCUUUUUCAAUUUAGAGUUAGCAUCAUAAGGAGUACCUACGGGAGUUACCUCCCAACAUUCAAACUUCUUAAGAAUCCUUUCAACAUAAUGUUCUUGUGUUAACAUUAUCCCAUCGUCACUCCUUAUAAUUUUAAUUCCCAAUAUCAUAUUUAAUUUACCCAAAUCUUUCAUAUCAAAAUUAGUAGACAAAAAUAAUUUGAUAUUUUGCACAAUAUUUAAACUUGUACCAAAUAUAAGCAUGUCAUCAACAUAUAAGCAAAUUAUCACAUAAUCAUUGUCUACCACUUUAGUAUUAACACAUUUAUCCACUUCAAUAGUAGAAAAAUCAUCUUUAAUAAAGAUUUGAUCAAAUUUCUCAUGCCACUGUUUCGAAGCUUGUUUAAGGCUAUAAAAAGAUUUAAUUAAUUUACAAACUUUAUUUUUUUGUCCAGAGACUACAUAUUCUUCAGGUUGAACCAUAUAAAUUUCUUCUUCUAAAUCACCAUUUAAGAAAGCUGUUUUACAUCCAUUUGAUGGAUAAAAAAUUUAUGAAUCGAUGCCAAAGCAAUUAAUAUUCGAAUAAAAAAAAUUCUUGUCACUAGUGCAAAUGUAUCAAAAUAAUCAAUAUUUUGUUUUUGAGCAAAUCUUUAACUACUAAACGAGCUUUAUAUUCAUCUAUAGAUCCAUCAGAAUUAAAUUUUUCUUUGAAAAUUCAUUUACAGUCAAUAGGUUUUGCACCUGAAAGUAAAUCAGUUAAAACCCAUAUAUUAUUUUUCAUAAUAGAAUCAAGUUUAAUUUUUAUUGCCUCUUUCCAAAAUUUAGCAUCAAUUUAGCAUCAGAAGAAGAUAUAACUUCAAAAUAAUUUGAUGGUUCAUUAUCAAAGAGAAAAGUUUGAAAAUUAUUUCCAUAAGAAAAAUAUUCUUUUCUAGGCCUUAGACUCUUUCUCAGUUCCGCAAUCUUAAAGGUAGAUUCAUUUUCUCUUUCAACGGGUGCAUAAGAGAUUUUGUCACAUAGUAGAAAAAUAUGUUCAAAGAAUUCAGCAUUCUUUGUCUCGAUAAUAGUAUUACUAUCAAGCACAUCACUUUUCAAAAUAAAAAAUCUAUAUACAGCACUAUGUUCAGCAUAUCCAAUAAGCAUGCAGUCAGUAGUUUUAGAACCUAUUUUUCUUCUUUUAGCUUUAGAAAAAGAACUUUAGUAAGACACCCCCAUACUUUUAAAUAUUUCAAGUUAGGUUUAUAAUCUUUCCACAAUUCAUAAGGGAUUUUACUAAUUCGUUUAUGAGGAAUUCUAUUUUGCAAGUGACAUGCAGAUAAAAUAACUUCACCUCACAAAUUAUUAGGUGCACAAGAGCUAAUUAGCAAAGAGUUCAUCAUUUCCUUCAAUGUUCUAUUUUUUCUUUCAGCUACACCAUUAGACUCAGGUGAAUAUGACGGAGUUACUUCAUGAAUAAUUCCUUUUUUUUCAUAAAAAAUAUUUAAAGAUACAUAUUCUCCACCUCUAUCGGAUCUAACUCUCUUAAUUUUUCUACUAAGUUGAUUUUCAACUUCAGAUUUAUAAGACAUAAAAGCAUCAAAUGCAUCAUCUUUGUUUCUAAGCAAAUACAACUUGAUAAAUCUAAAAAAAUCAUCAAUAAAAGUCACAUGAUAUCUUUUUCCACCGUUAGUCAUAGUUUGUUUUAAAUCACCCAAAUCAGUGUGAAUCAAACAUAAUAAUUCAGUUUCUCUUUUAACUAAAAAAUAUGACUUUUUCGUAAUUUUAGUUUCAGCACAUAUUUCACAUUUAUCAUAAUUAUUUGAGUUUAAACCAGAUAUCAAACCAAGUAAUUGCAUUUUCUUUAUAUAAGAGAAAUUAAUGUGUCCUAAUCUAGCAUGCCAUAAAGAAAUAGACUCAGUCAAAUACGCAGAAAUAGAUACAUUUUUAGAAAUAUCAUUAUGAGUAUUAAGCAUAUAUAAUUCAUGAUUACAACAUCCAUUUUCAAUAAGAAUAUUAUUUUUAGUUAAUAUAAUCUCAUUGUUUUCAAACACAACCUUUAUUCCAACCUUUUUUAAUAAUGCCACAGAAAUCAAAUUAAUCCUGAUAUUAGGAACAUGCAACACAUUACUCAAUGCCAAAGUUUUAUCAGAUAUGAGUUUGAGAAGAACUUUGUCUUUUCCAAGAACUUGAACAGUUCUUGAGGUCCCAAGAUAAAUAAUUUCUUCUUCUUUCUCAACUUAGGUGUAUGAUACAAAAUUAUUUGUAUUUAUACAAAUAUGCCUAGUAGCACCAGAGUUUACCACCCAAUUUCUCACGUUGGUUUCAAUAUUUAUUUCUGAAAUGAUCACAAUAACUAUAUCAUUCGUUUCAGUCAAAUUUAUUUUUAACUUAACGGGAUUGUCAUUUCUUUCACAUAUUCUCUUACAUUGAGAUACAUCAUUUAUAAAGAUUUUAUAACUAUUAUUAGGCAUGUACCCAAGUUUAUUUUUCAUACCUGAAUUCUACAGUAUCAUAAUCUUCUGACAAACUGACUGGAAUGAAAGCAAUCAUAGCAACACAAACAUCAGUAUUAUCAACGAUCUUAGGAUCAAUAUUAUAUGCCGUAGUUUCUUAAAUUUUUGGGGAACAAUGAUAAAAUACCAAUAACAAUAAUAUUUAAACUAUUAAAAAAAUGUUAAUAUAAUAAUGAUAAUAGCAGUACAAUAAUAUAACAAUGUAUAAUAAUAUUACUACUUUAGUAAUGAUUAAUAUAAUAAUAUUAACAAUAAUAUAAUUAAUUAUUGACAAAUUAAUAAUACUGAAUAUUAAAUAGAUAUUAUAAAAUAUGAUUUUAAGUAAUAGAUGAAUAUUAAAUAGAUAUUAUAAAAUAUGAUUUUAAGUAAUAGAUAAAUUGCUUGAGUCAUCCUAGACACUAUCCUAAGAAAUUAUUUCCGCAAAGUAAAAUAUUUUCUCAGAAUUAAACAAGCACUUUUCUGAUUAAUUAAAGGAUAUUCAAAAUAAUUAUAUAAGUCUUUCCUUAUUAAUCAAAGGAUAUAGAA